ACCGCCCUCCCGCGCUGACGGACCCCGGGGGUCCCCGGGGAUCGGACCCGUGGGGGGCUUCCCAGGCCGCCGCCCCACCCCCGCGGGAUGUGGGUGCACUCACGGGCAGGCGCGGCGACACGCGGGCAGACACGCUUGUGCCCCCGCCGCGGGGUGCUUGCACGCCCGCGGACACGCGUGGACACACGCUCGCUGGCGGGCGCGCACAGCGAGGGGGGGCGGCAACACCGCACCCAGCCAGGUACAGGGUACCUUCUGCUGGGAGAAAGGGGAGUAUAUCGAUGUGAGUGGGGAAAAUUCGACUGUGCGUCUAUGCUAGCGCAGAUGAAAAAACCAGCAUGUGUCGGUGCAAAGAAAUGUCGUAUUUGAUAGCCGAUCAAAUUGCUGCAUCGAGCUCCUUGAGCCUUGCGUGAGAGGAAAAGUUUCCAAAAAAAAAAAAAAAAGACACCGAUUUAUUAUUUCGCUCAUGUUACAGAGCAAUACAAUAAACAGUGGGGGUGUGAGAAGCAGGGAAACACAAUAAAGUGCUGUGUCACUUUAACUGUAAAAGGGAAACCAGCCAGCACCCAGAGGUUUACCUCCAACUUUUUGGAACACACUUGGAGCCUACCUCGACUUUCACAGCGGUCCAGCACCAUGAACUUAAACAUGUUUCCUCCAAAAUGUGAAUCAUGGAGUCAGAAAGAAAACAGUGAGAUAUGUUGUUCCCAGAAGUUGUGAUGCUGAGGCUUGCCUUUGGGAAUGUGAUUCACAACCCCAAGUUAGACAUCCAGCUCUUCAUAGAUAAUAUCCUGGAGAACGUGUACAUUCCCCACCACCUUUCCUUUUGAAGUAGUGCUGUGACUCAGAGAGCAGUGCAGGAUUCUGUGGGCAAACAAGAGAAAAGUUUUCUGUGAGGAGUGUUGCUCAACAGUCCUGAAGCGAGAACACUCUGCUCCCAGAGAAGCCUACAGCCUAAGAGACAGGGCACUAAUCUGAGAGAUGGUGGACGCCAUCGCAAUGAAACGAGCAUUGAAGAUUGGUCUCCUAUUUGAGGAUGGAAAACAGAAGACAGAAAAUUAAAUUCUAUGACAGCCUUUCUCAAACAUUUCCUCCAGUUAAACACAUGAGAUGAAUGUGUCUAAUAUCCAAACUUCGUAAACACUGCAGAAACGUACCAGGAAUAUGAAGAUGUAAGCUUGCAGAACUUCUUAGUCUACUCCUUCAACUCUUUUCUGGCAUGGCCCAUCAAUGGUAUGAAAGGCCUCUUUUCUACCAGUAUCUUUGGAAUUAUCCUUCUUAACUCCUUCCAUCCCCACCUGAGGGAGGGGAUCAUUCAUUUCUCAAAAUGAAGGCUCUGUAGCGCACGCAGAUUUCAGUGCUUAUUGGCAGGGUUUGCUGAAAGCAUCCAGCUAAGCACCUGGCUCAGGGCAGAAAAGCUCUGCCCUUUCUCUCUUCCCCAAGAUUUCAGAAGGCAUGGAAGAUGAACUGCAAAACAUGCUGCCUGAAGAAAAUAUUUGACUUUUGUUCUAUAAAAACAUGAAAGAUUAAAAGCAUUUUCUUCAGCAUCGCAAGAAGCCGGAGUCUAGAAUUUGAACUCUCACCACUUGCAGGAUUGUGUUCAGUAGUAGCAUGAAGCUAUCAUACUCAACCCCAGAUGGCAUCUUUGAGAAUAUCUCACUUAAGUUGCUCCUUGCUUUUCAUCUUUUUUUUAUUGCUUCUGUUACAGACUUUUUGCAGUCCCUCAGAGCAAGCAAACAAGGCCAUGGUGUUAUGUGUGCAAGUGAGA